GCGCCGCUGGUGCAACGGUUCAAUCACCGUGCUCCCGGAAAGAGUAAGGUCUGGGUUCGAAUCCCAGCUGACGCA